rnacentral:tRNA from 1 species
GGAGAGAUGGCUGAGCUCGGUUGAAAGCGCACGACUCGAAAUCGUGUAACGGUUGAUAGCCGUUCGUGGGUUCGAAUCCCACUCUCUCCGCCA